UACGUAGGGUGCAAGCGUUAAUCGGAAUUACUGGGCGUAAAGCGUGCGCAGGCGGUUUUGUAAGUCUGUCGUGAAAUCCCCGGGCUCAACCUGGGAAUUGCGAUGGAGACUGCAAGGCUAGAAUCUGGCAGAGGGGGGUAGAAUCCCACGUGUAGCAGUGAAAUGCGUAGAGAUGUGGAGGAACACCGAUGGCGAAGGCAGCCCCCUGGGUCAAGAUUGACGCUCAUGCACGAAAGCGUGGGGAGCAAACAGG
rnacentral:rRNA from 1 species